rnacentral:rRNA from 1 species
CUGAGUACGGCGGAACACGUGAAAUUCCGUCGGAAUCCGGGAGGACCAUCUCCCAAGGCUAAAUACUCCCUAGUGACCGAUAGUGAACCAGUACCGUGAGGGAAAGGUGAAAAGCACCCCGGAAGGGGAGUGAAACAGUUCCUGAAACCGUGUGCCUACAAGUAGUUAGAGCCCGUUAAUGGGUGAUAGCGUGCCUUUUGUAGAAUGAACCGGCGAGUUACGAUUUGUUGCAAGGUUAAGCGGAAAAAGCGGAGCCGUAGCGAAAGCGAGUCUGAAUAGGGCGCAUAAGUAACAGGUCGUAGACCCGAAACCAGGUGAUCUACCCAUGUCCAGGAUGAAGGUAAGGUAAUACUUACUGGAGGUCCGAACCCACGCACGUUGAAAAGUGCGGGGAUGAGGUGUGGGUAGCGGAGAAAUUCCAAUCGAACUUGGAGAUAGCUGGUUCUCUCCGAAAUAGCUUUAGGGCUAGCCUCGAGGUAAAGAGUCAUGGAGGUAGAGCACUGUUUGGACUAGGGGCCCUUCUCGGGUUACCGAAUUCAGAUAAACUCCGAAUGCCAUGUACUUAUACUCGGGAGUCAGACUGCGAGUGAUAAGAUCCGUAGUCGAAAGGGAAACAGCCCAGACCACCAGUUAAGGUCCCCAAAUAUAUGUUAAGUGGAAAAGGAUGUGGGGUUGCUUAGACAACCAGGAUGUUGGCUUAGAAGCAGCCACCAUUGAAAGAGUGCGUAAUAGCUCACUGGUCGAGUGACCCCGCGCCGAAAAUGUACCGGGGCUAAACAUAUUACCGAAACUGUGGAUGAACCUCUUUAGAGGUUCGUGGUAGGAGAGCGUUCUAAGGGCGGUGAAGUCAGACCGGAAGGACUGGUGGAGCGCUUAGAAGUGAGAAUGCCGGUAUGAGUAGCGAAAGAAGGGUGAGA